rnacentral:rRNA from 1 species
UGGCUCCUACGGGAGGCAGCAGUGGGGGAUAUUGGACAAUGGGGGAAACCCUGAUCCAGCGAUGCCGCGUGAGGGAAGAAGGUUUUCGGAUUGUAAACCUCUGUGGAGGGGGACGAUAAUGACGAUACCCCUUUAGGAAGCCACGGCUAACUACGUGCCAGCAGCCGCGGUAAUACGUAGGUGGCGAGCGUUGUCCGGAAUUACUGGGUGUAAGGGGGGGGAAGGCGGGAAAGCAAGUCAG